AAGAUUUUAAGUUAAAUAAAACUUUCAACCUUCAAAGUUGAUUAUAUAAUAUAUUUUUAAAUCUUA
rnacentral:tRNA from 1 species